UGAAGACCAUCGUCAUACUUCCUCUCAAAUGUCAUAUAUCUCACAUUAACCCUAAUUCUCUCACAUACACGAAAGCUGUCUCCUCUUCUUCUUCUUCUUUAAUCUCUUUUUUUUCUCUUCAGAUCUUUUUUUCAAUCUACACGGAGAUGUCAAAAUUGGUUAUGUUUCGGAUGGAUCUGAUCUUGCUGGAUGAUCAGACUGAUGAAGAUGAUCUUCAAGUGAUUCUCAAAUCCAGAGCUCCCUCAAAUCUCCUCUUCAGACGGAUGAUCUUCAGACGAUUCAUCAUUCUUCAUUACAGACACAUACAAUUCGAGAUUUCAGGGUUUUAGUAAGCUCAAAUUCUCUAAAUUCAAGCGUGUUUUGUGGUUGGAGAUGUGCUUCGGAUUCGUAACAGAGGAUUUGGUUGGAGGAAAUGGAAGAGUGAAGAAGAAUGAGGAUUUAGUGUGUUUGUAUCCGUUUACUUCGGCUUCGAGUGCGACUCAGAGGAGGAUUAAGCAACAGUAUGAUCAGCUUGAACAUAUAUUCGGGGAGACAGUGUUGGUGAAGAUCUGCCCUUCAAUCUCGAUAAACGGAAGACAAUGUUGGUGAACCAGUACUUAUAUAAUAAUUUUUUUUAAUCUCGAAAACGAGGAUGAAGUCUUGAAAAAUCAACAAGCUCCAAGUUCACUUACUAAUUGUUGAAAUCAGAAACCUUUCAUCUUGCUUUUUAAGUCAUUGUAGUGAACAAAAAUGAAUCAAACAAAUGUGAACAAUCAGACCUAUGAAGAUGAGGAUGAUAUUUUUAUUCCAGUUCAUCAUGAGGUUGUGACAAACCAAGAGGUGUUAAGAUUAGGGACCCGCAAAAGGUAGCAAAAGCACAAACAGUUGAAGCCUUGAAUCGAGAAAGCAAAGACCACAUUUCAUGCAUUGUGGUUCAGUUUAGCUGAAGAAAGGUGUAUCUUUGAGGCUGGAAGUACUGUGUGCACUGUGUACGUAGUAUAAGGUGUACAUUGGGGGAGCGCAGCCGCAGCGAACGUAGCCACAACGGCGCAGCAACCGCAGCCGCAACGGCGUGGCGAGCGCAACCGCAGCAAACGCAGCUGCAUCGGUUAGAGGUGUUACAAGCAACCCAACGAGAGAGAACGAGAGAUAGGGGACGAUGGCGGCUCAUCUCUGAAAACCCUAAAGACGCACAGGUAUCAUUCAUGUAUCUAGGGUUUCAUUCAUAAAUUCCUCAAAUCUUCACUUAAAUUCACCCUAUUUCUUUCAAUAAUCAUAAUCUGCAAUCAUCCUAACCUCUUUCAAGACGGUUCAAUUGAAAUCUGAAAUUUGAAUCCACUAUGGGCUAGAUCCAGUACUCCGAAAAGUAUUUCGAUGAUACGUUCGAAUACAGGUUAUAACCAAUGACAAAACACAAUGGGAGGAGAAGUCUGCAGCAGUGAGACUGUCGAAUAAAAUGUAAAAGCACAAAAGAAAAAAAAACUUUGGCGGAAAAGAAAGAGACAACGCGUUGGGGAAAUGCUUGCAAAGGUUGUACUUGUACCUAUAUUUGUGUUUCCUUUCGUCUUUUAGUUGUAGUUUGUGAAACUAUGAAUUUCUACGAUAGGAAUGUGGUGUGCACAAAAUGCAACAUAUAAAUUACAUCAAUUGUGGCAUAAAACUAACCCUUUUUUAGUACUAAUGUUAGAAAAAGUGUG